rnacentral:rRNA from 1 species
UGCUAUUAGAUGAGUCUACAUCAGAUCAGCUAGCUGGUGGAGUAAUAGCCUACCAAGACAAUGAUCUAUAGCUGAUCUGAGAGGAUGAUCAGUUACACUGGAACUGAAGUACGGUCCAGACUCCUACGGGAGGCAGCAGUGGGGAAUAUUGGACAAUGGGCGAAAGCCUGAUCCAGCCAUGCCGCAUGAGUGAAGAAGGCCUUUGGGUUGUAAAGCUCUUUUAGUGAGGAAGAUAAUGACGGUACUCACAGAAGAAGUCCUGGCUAACUCCGUGCCAGCAGCCGCGGUAAUACGGAGGGGGCUAGCGUUAUUCGGAAUUAUUGGGCGUAAAGGGCGCGUAGGCUGGUUAAUAAGUUAAAAGUGAAAUCCCGAGGCUUAACCUUGGAAUUGCUUUUAAAACUAUUAAUCUAGAGAUUGAAAGAGGAUAGAGGAAUUCCUGAUGUAGAGGUAAAAUUCGUAAAUAUUAGGAGGAACACCAGUGGCGAAGGCGUCUAUCUGGUUCAAAUCUGACGCUGAAGCGCGAAGGCGUGGGGAGCAAACAGGAUUAGAUACCCUGGUAGUCCACGCUGUAAACGAUGAAUGUACAAUAUAGGAAGCUUACUUUCUGUGUUACAGCUAACGCGUUAAACAUUCCGCUUGGGGA